rnacentral:rRNA from 1 species
UACAGAGGUCCCGAGCGUUGUUCGGAUUCAUUGGGCGUAAAGGGUGCGUAGGUGGCGCCGUAAGUGGGGUGUGAAAUCCCGGGGCUUAACCCCGGGACUGCAUUCCAUACUGCGGUGCUUGAGGACGUGGAGAGGAGACUGGAAUUUACGGUGUAGCAGUGAAAUGCGUAGAGAUCGUAAGGAAGACCAGUGGCGAAGGCGGUCUCUGGACAGUUCCUGACACUGAGGCACGAAGGCCAGGGGAGCAAACGGG